UUCUUUAGCCAAGCAUUUCUGUAUACCAGCAAUGGUAGGCCAAUACCUUUGGGAAGUUAUCCCCUAAAAUCAAAAAAACAGCCUAAAUGUCUGCUGAGGUUCUCAGUCAUUCAAGUCAUAGUUGUCUCAAAGGUAUUUUGAGGUAUUUUCAAAAGGCAACUGGACUGUUUUGUUUUGUUUUUAGUUGUGGGAGAAAAAGAAAAUAUUUCACUUCUUGUUCACGAAGAUUCAUCCAUUCUAAUGGUGAGGAGAUGGGAGGAUAGUUUCUGAUAGGAUGUUUCCAUCUCCCCACCAUCAGAACUGAUGAAGUUUCUUGGUUGAGAAGUUUUCUUCUUCUCAAAGAAAAAAAACAACCCAGUUGUCUUUUGAAAAAGCACCUUUGAAACAAAACCAGACUAUUUUUCAUUGUGUUGCCGAGGAAGAGUAGCUCUUUGGAUGUACUGCAGACUGCCUCUUAAUGUGGAAGCUCCUGCAUAACGCUGUACACCGCCCUGAGUCCUUCGGGAGUAGGAAGCCAUUAAGUGAAUCACCACACAUCAGCAAAGCACAUGGCUGUCAAGCUACUCAUAUGGUCAUUCAGCAACACCAGCUUACCGAAGAAGUUACCGGAAAACAACUGGGAAGAUCACAAAUUGCAAUCACAUGACCACAAGACACUGUAACCAUCAUAAAUGAGAGUCAGUUGCCAAGUACCAAAAUUGCAAUCACUUGACUGUGAGGGUGGUGCAGCAAUUGUAAUUUGGAGGACGGAUCAUACAUCACUUUUUCUGAGACUGUUGUAACUUUGAACCACUGUUAAACGAAAGGUCAUAAAUUGAAAACUACUGUACUGCAGAGUCUCUGGAGCAUGAAGGAGCUUGAUAUGCCUGAUACACCUGCAGCUCGGGACUAAUGAAUGGACCAGUGGUGGGUUGCCCCCGUUCGCACCGGUUCUAUAGAACCGGUAGUAAAACCGGCGGGAAGCUCCGCUCACCGACCCUGACAUCAUCAAAAUGCUUGCGAAGAAGAGCAUGCGCGCGGGUGAGCGAAGCGAGUGUGCGUGCGCGGCCCUGCUGCAAACCGGUAGUAAAGACCAAAAGGGCAGAAAGCAGGGGGAGAGAGAGAUGGGCAUCUAUAACAAUAUAAUCUAUAACUAUAACAAUGCAACAGUUUCCAGAUCACCGCAAGAAAUACACUAAAUUAAAGUUUUUAGAGAGCAAGUUUGGUUAAGGCACCAACUGGAAGAUUAGAAAGUUCUACACCUACCUUUGGGACAAAGCCUGCUGAGUGACUUGGGCCAGCCCCUUUCUCACAGCCCUAGGAAGCAGGCAACAGCAAACUAUUUUUGAAAUCUUGCCAAGAAAACUGCAGAGACUUUUCCAGGCAGUCAUAGGAAUCAACACUGGUUUGAAAGCAUACACAAUUUUUUAAAAAUUUUAACUUUACUAAACCACCUUGGUCUUUUUUGGAUUGAAUGGUAUAUCAACUGCAAUAAAUAAAUAAAUUAGAUAUAUUUGUAAGUAACAACCUGAUGUGGCAGUAAGUAUACUCUUCCAGAAACUUUGCUGGUUAGAUUUGGUUGGUUCUAUUUUAAUAACACAGAAGUUAUUCUACUGGUAUAUAUACCAAUAAGAUACAAUUUUUAAAAUUAUAUUUUUGUUCAGUAUUUUGAUUUGUAUGCAUUCAACUGCAGAAAGGAAGUCACUGUACUUCCUAUAGGUGGGCCAGCUAAUAUUGAUGUAUUGAUGUUAUUGCUGUUACAUAGGCACAACAGUAGCUUUAUGUGUGCAAAUGACACUGUGGUCCUGCUAGCCACUUCAUUAAGACUAAUACAAACUCCAUCGAACUUUCCACAAAUUCAGUAAAAUGGAAAGUCCUGUAGGAUCCCUAAUGAUAUCUAUGCUUUUGCAUUGUAGAUGUAUUGGGAGAAGUAUUCCAUAAUUGUAGAAAACUCACCAAGAAAGAUUUCUUCUUAGUUAAAUCAAAUUUGAUUUCUGAUAUUUGUGGUACUUGAAGCAGAGUUUUCAGUCUAAAAUUUUAAUUGACAAAUCAUCAGAUCACACAAUAAUCACUGGCAGAAAGGGAGGGAGAAAGUGACAAAGAAAAAGUAAGUGCCAGAAUCAGACAGAGAAAGAAAGAAAGAAACACUUUUGUUUUUUGUCAUCCCAAGAAGUCCAUCUCUGUAUUAUGUCAAGUCCAAGUUAUAAAGUUAAAAUGAUGCUUUCAGUUGGGCCCAGAAGGAAACUAAUAGGCAGUGCAUCAUUAUAAGAUUUAGUUAAAUAUGUUCCCACAUUCAUAUGGAGUUGAGCAACUUCAUUUAAAGUUGGGAGGCCACAUGCCGAAGCAAAGUUUUUAACAAGGUGCGUGGG